ACGAACGCUGGCGGCGUGCUUAACACAUGCAAGUCGAACGGAAAGGCCCUGCUUUUGUGGGGUGCUCGAGUGGCGAACGGGUGAGUAACACGUGAGUAGCCUGCCCUUGACUUUGGGAUAACUUCAGGAAACUGGGGCUAAUACCGGAUAGGAGCUCCUGCUGCAUGGUGGGGGUUGGAAAGUUUCGGCGGUUGGGGAUGGACUCGCGGCUUAUCAGCUUGUUGGUGGGGUAGUGGCUUACCAAGGCUUUGACGGGUAGCCGGCCUGAGAGGGUGACCGGCCACAUUGGGACUGAGAUACGGCCCAGACUCCUACGGGAGGCAGCAGUGGGGAACAUUGCACAAUGGGCGGAAGCCUGAUGCAGCAACGCCGCGUGCGGGAUGACGGCCUUCGGGUUGUAAACCGCUUUCGCCUGUGACGAAGCGUGAGUGACGGUAAUGGGUAAAGAAGCACCGGCUAACUACGU
rnacentral:rRNA from 1 species